UGGCUCCUCUCCCUAGUGUCAUCUGGAGGUGGCUCCUCUCCCUAGUGCCAUCUGGAGGUGGCUCCUCUCCCUAGUGUCAUCUGGAGGUGGCUCCUCUCCCUAGUGUCAUCUGGAGGUGGCUCCUCUCCCUAGUGUCAUCUGGAGGUGGCUCCUCUCCCUAGUGUCAUCUGGAGGUGGCUCCUCUCCCUAGUGUCAUCUGGAGGUGGCUCCUCUCCCUAGUGUCAUCUGGAGGUGGCUCCUCUCCCUAGUGCCAUCUGGAGGUGGCUCCUCUCCCUAGUGUCAUCUGGAGGUGGCUCCUCUCCCUAGUGCCAUCUGGAGGUGGCUCCUCUCCCUAGUGUCAUCUGGAGGUGGCUCCUCUCCCUAGUGUCAUCUGGAGGUGGCUCCUCUCCCUAGUGCCAUCUGGAGGUGGCUCCUCUCCCUAGUGCCAUCUGGAGGUGGCUCCUCUCCCUAGUGCCAUCUGGAGGUGGCUCCUCUCCCUAGUGCCAUCUGGAGGUGGCUCCUCUCCCUAGUGCCAUCUGGAGGUGGCUCCUCUCCCUAGUGCCAUCUGGAGGUGGCUCCUCUCCCUAGUGCCAUCUGGAGGUGGCUCCUCUCCCUAGUGUCAUCUGGAGGUGGCUCCUCUCCCUAGUGUCAUCUGGAGGUGCUGUAAGUUUUAAUGUAUUAGCCGCCAACUUAAGUUACUUAGGUAGCUAGCUAACAUACCAGUACAUACUGCUGUAAUGAUAUGCUAUGUGGUUCAUAAGGACAGCGUAGCUAACUAACAUACCAGUACAUACUGCUGUAAUGAUAUGCUAUGUGGUUCAUAAGGACAGCGUAGCUAACUAACAUACCAGUACAUACUGCUGUAAUGAUAUGCUAUGUGGUUCAUAAGGACAGCGUAGCUAACUAACAUACCAGUACAUACUGCUGUAAUGAUAUGUUGUUACUGUUCGUAAGAAUAGCGUAGCUAACAAAUUGUCAGCCAAUAUAAUGUUUAACUUAACUUACUUGAAAGGUAAUUACUUUAUUACGUUGCUCAACACUGUGUUAACAAAUCUGAAAAUGUUCUGAAGCCACGUCCAGUUUAGAAAUAGUUGCAUUAUGGGCCCUAAAUCAAUUACCUCUAACAGAGCUAGCCUGUCUCUCAGCAGUCUGGAGGCGGUGUAGCUGGGGGUUGCUCCUUCAGCUCAGUAACCCAUACCUCUAACAGAGCCAGUCUGUUUCUCAGCAGUCUGGAGGUGGUGUAGCUGGGGGGCUGCUCCUUCUGCUCAGUAACCCAUACCUCUAACAGGCUGAUGGUGGUGUGGUCUUGGCUCUGGUGGUCGUAGGCAGGCAGGGGAGAGGAUGGUCCUGUUGAGUUUAUCUGGGCCUGAGCUCCUGUUGUUGGAGAGCCUGAGGUAAGGGGAAGUCCUGCACAGAAGAGCUGAGUGCAGCCUCACUGCCCUGGGCUCUGACAGUGUCCGUUCCGGUACACGUUUACCGGCACGUUUACCGGCACGUUUACCGGCAGAAACCUGUUUUCCUGGUCCUUUUCCAUGUCCUCAAAAAUGUGGAUUUGCCUUCCCUGGCAGAGGCCUUUCUUUGUAUGGAUGACAUGCCUGGUUACAGCUGUAUGCCAGGCAGUAAUGUGUUCUGUAAAAUAACAGGUUCGUAACAGUCUGCUGUGUGAGCAGUCGGCAAAGAAGGUUUCCGGGUUCUCCCUCCAGAAUUCUGUUUCAAAUGGAUUCUUCCCUUCUCUGAUUUGAUUUCUGCUGGAAAUGUUAAAAAGGGGGGGAAGUCUUUCUCUGCUGGUGCUGCUAGCGCUGACUCAGUGGCCAUGUUGCUCUGGUUACCACCAGGUAACAGUUGUCGCUAGCCAGUAAACUAGCUAACAAUUUAACAUUUGGCUAGCUAGCACGAUUAAGAUUGGCAGUGUGAGUUAAAAGACUAAUCGUUUUCUCCUGUGUACAAUUUAAUUACCUAUAUAUUUUUUGCUAAUUUAAUCUUGUAAUUUUCUGGUUGUUCAGAGUGAGAUUAACAGGUCAGGAGAUGUUCGUCUGCAUGACUGCGUCUUUCUUUC